rnacentral:rRNA from 1 species
AACGAACGCUGGCGGCAGGUCUUAGGCAUGCAAGUCGAACGGGUGUAGUAAUACACCAGUGGCGAACGAGUGAGUAACGCGUGGGAAUCGGCCCAUCUCUGGGGAAUAACGUUUGGAAACGAACGCUAAGACCGAAUACGCCCGCAAGCGGUAAGAUUUAUCGGAGAUGGAUGAGCCCGCGUUGGAUUAGUUAGUUGGUGGGGUAACGGCCUACCAAGGAGAUGAUCCAUAGCUGGUCUGGGAGGACGAUCAGCCACGCUGGAACUGAGAUACGGGCCAGACUCAUAGGGAAGGCAGCAGCUAAGAAUGUUGGGCAAUGGAGGAAACUCUGACCCAGCCAUGCCGCGUGAAUGAAGAAGGCCUUCGGGAUGUAAAGUUCUUUUAGUCGUGACGAUGAUGACGGUAGCGACAGAAAAAGCACCGGCUAACUUCGUGCCAGCCGCCGCGGUAA